rnacentral:rRNA from 1 species
GACAGAGGGUGCAAACGUUGCUCGGAAUCACUGGGCGUAAAGGGCGUGUAGGCGGGUAGGCAAGUCGGGCGUGAAAUCCCUGAGCUCAACUCAGGAACUGCACUCGAAACUGCUUAUCUUGAGUGCCGGAGAGGAAAGCGGAAUACCCUGGUGUAGAGGUGAAAUUCGUAGAUAUCAGGUGGAACACCAGUGGCGAAGGCGGCUUCUGGACGGUAACUGACGCUGAGACGCGAAGCGUGGGGAGCAAACAGGAUUGAAGAUACCCGUAGUAAGUC